UUUGCGAACAUGUGCAUUUUCUUGGAAAACGAAUCUGACAUGCCAUGUGCAUCUUGAGAUUUUAACCAGUUAGAGAAAAUUUGACGAGCUUUCAUUUGAGGACGUGUCCCAUCCUUCAAUGAAAAUUAGGGGAGAAGCUGUGUGAGAAAACAUUAACAUUGUUACAUAUGGGAAAUGUAUUAGUGGACUGUACCCAGACUGAUGGAUGUUGACCCUCUAAAAUGUGGAAAUGAGCUUCUACACCAGACAGGAAUUUGUGGAAAAACUUUGAAAAGGCAAGACUGAUGGAUGUUGACCCUCUAAGAUGUGGAAAUGAACAGCCACAGUGAGACAGGAAUUGGUGGAAGCAACUAGAAAAGACAAGACUGAUGGAUGAGCUUCCCAACAGCAAGACUUAACCCUGUGGAGGACUGUCACUGAUCAGUGUGCUUUGAUGACAGUACCCAGUAGAAGACUCAGCUAAAGUCAUGUGGAUGUGCUUGACAUUAUGAAUGACAAGGAGUCCUCAGAAAAUAAAAGUAUUGAGGCAUAUCCUUGUGGUCGCAUGUGGAGAAAGACAAAGAUAGAUGACCAUGUAGAAAGCCAGAUUUGUACACACAAGCAUAUCCAGUUUACGAUGUUAUAAUCCAAAACAAUUUUUUUUGAAACAUUUGUUUUGGAAAUGGGUGUCUGAGUUGUAAGAGGGUAUGGGGUCACCCACUCAGACACGUGGGUUUUCUCCGGGGGCUCCGGUUUCCUCCCACACUGACCCCAUUGUUUUUCUCUGUGCCAAUGUAAAUAUCUUUUAUUAUCUAUUAAUUGUUUUGCUCUAAUGUUAUUUUAUGUAAUUUGUUAUAUUUUAUAUUAUAAAAUGUUUAGAUGAAGUAGUUGAAAGCUAGUUGUAAGUAGACCUUGUCGAUACCCUGGGGCAUUACUGGUUGGAACUUCGUGGAUCCUUGGCCGCUACGGUUGCCAGGCUGGCCUGGGGAGGAGAGGUUGAAAAUGCAACUAGUUGUAGGCUGCUUUGUCUUUAAUAAUCUGUUUUCAUUUUAUCUAAAAUCAUAUAUGUUGCAGAUAUAAUGAUUGUUAAAUAUUAAAUUAGUAUUCUUGGAAUGUACAAAUUCUGUCAGCUACUGUACCAGUAAUAAUUUGCAUAGUAAUUCCGAUUAUUAGCUUAUUGUGAAAUUGAAUGCAUUAUAUACUGACUUAAACUUCAGUAAAAGUAAUUGAUUAUAAAUUUUGAUGUGAAAUUAUGAUUUGUA